rnacentral:rRNA from 1 species
UUUCGACGGAGAGUUUGAUCCUGGCUCAGGACGAACG